rnacentral:tRNA from 1 species
GCCGCCAUGGUGAAAUUGGUAGACACGCUGCUCUUAGGAAGCAGUGCUAGAGUUUCUCGGUUCGAGUCCGAGUGGCGGCA